rnacentral:tRNA from 1 species
UUCAGAGGAUGCAGUUCAGUGGUAGAAUGCUUGCUUAGCAUGCAUGAGAUCCUGUGUUCUACCCCCAGCACUGAAA